CCAGAUGAAGCAAAUAUCAGUUGAGAGGAGAGAGUUCCCCCUUACUUUUCCUACCUAGAACAUUGAAGUUUCUCAGCUUUCUCUCUCACCUCACACCACAUUAUCUGGAGACAGAAAAGACAUUCAACUCUGUUCUUCCCUUCCAACAGUUUCACAUAUCUAUUAAACAAGCUCGAUUUCAUUUCCACAUGAUUCCUUCAUCCUAAAUGUCUUUAACAUUCCAAAACAGACGUAGCAUACAAAUAAUGUUUGUCAUCUCGAUGCGCAUACAUCUAUAAAUAUCUAAUUAGAUCCCAGGCACUGAUAAAUUCUCCAAAAAAGAACCACAUACAAAUGCACAAAAUUUUAUUCAAGUUCCAGAUAAACCCAAGUAAAUCACGCAAGCAAAAGUAAAUUUAAAUAAAUUCAAUCAUAGCUCUAAUCAUUCAACAAUUUUCACUAAUCAUAGAUAUAAAUUGAAUUGUAAACUUUUACAAAGGCCUAAAACCUAAUCUACAUCAAAUUUUAACUUUUACAAGUAAAUCAAAGCAAAAAAAGAAGUCAUAGCUUCUUUAAAAGUUCAAAAUUUAACAUCCAAUUAAACAAACGCAACAGCAGCAUCAAUUAAAAUACACCGUUUACAUAAUAAACACAAAACAAAAAUUCAAGUAUUCGUUACCUUGACUUUUUCUUUCCCUGCAGACAAUCAAUGACAGAAAGAGACAGUAGCUCAAGAUUUGAAGCUGAAAGUUGAGGUAAUAGAGAAAUCAGUUGUGGAAGCACAGAAGAAAAAAAGUUUCUAGACUUUGGUCUCUUUUGGCUGCAGUAACCUUUGCAUAUGCUGCAAGACGAUUUUGAGCGAUUUGCUCAGUUGAAACUUUGUUUUCAGCACAAUGUGACAAGUCAACAUGUAUUGUUUUGCUUAGUGAUAAAUAAUAUGUUUUUUUAAGUAACAUCAAGGAAUGAGCAUGAUUUCUAUAUGCUAAUGCCUCGUAUUUUUGGAUUAUCCUGGUCUGCUGCCAGCUUGAUCUUUACCAUGUUGCUUAUCCUCUAUAUGUCAUCAAAUCAAUAAAUUGAAGCAAAAGUUUCUUGUUUCUGAAAAUAGAGCCUUGAUUUGUAGUUUUACAAUCGCUGCAUGUACAUAUAUACUACAUUCAUCUAAAAGAAAUGUAUGUUAAUACCAGAAUUACUCCCGAUUGCUGUUCUUCAUCUCAGCCUCCCUGAAUAAGUUUUUUAUCUUUGAUUAAACCACGAAACCAAUUAACCGAAUGUCAACAAGUCAAAGACACAAAGCGAAAAAGAAGUCAAAGCUCUAUCAAUCUAAAGUAGAUAAGUCAAUACAACCAACAACACCGAGAACAAAGCACAGACCUGACUCCGGCUUGCUGUACAAACAAACUCAGUCGAGCCCUCGAAAACCAAAGGCCAAAACAGAGUCCCCACAAAGCUCUGAGUGCACGAGCGAGAUCGAGUCGGAAAAACGCGCUACCCACGAGGCCACGACACAAAUAUCGGCGCCCUCAGACCAACCAACAAAAAACGAGACCCACUGAACCUUCUGAAUUGAAGUAGAAAAUGGAACCGAUGAGAAGCCCCGAACAAGCCUCCAGAAACCAACACUGAACCAGAAUUCCAAAUGCCCAAGACAAGCCAAACACCACAGGCUACAAAACGGUAACAAAAACCCGACCCGAGCAAGAGAGGAAGAGCAGAAUUUGUAGAAAGCCUGAGCAAAGAAGAGAACCCAAACUAGCAGAAAACCCAAGCAAGAGAUCCCGGACAAAAACAGCACACAGUGAUGAAAAGCCCCAAAUCAAUUUAUAAAAAGGAGAAGAAAUCAAUGGGGGAAAAGGAGCCCGAAACCAGCUCAAGGAGCCCUACGAUCGACGGAAGAAGUUAGAAAUGCUGAUGGACAGAGAGGAAUGGAGAACCACUGCCGAUGAGAGUGUAGAGAAGGGAAUGGAAAAUGUCUUACUGAUUCCAAAUCGGUAAGACGUUUUCCAGAGAUUGGGAAGUGAUUUUAUCCGUGUUUGUAAAAUAUUUUCCUAUAGGAAUUUAUUUUUCACAAUUCAAACACUGAAAAUUAAGGAAAAUGUUUUCCACCACCCUUAAUUAGUACCUAAAGAAACAUGUUUCAUUCUCACUUUCAUUCAAAUUUUGGUUAUAAUUUCAGAUUUCUUUUUGAAAUAUUUUAAUUAUUAAAAUAAUUAAUAAUAUUUCUUUUUCUUU
rnacentral:lncRNA from 1 species